UACGAAGGGGGCUAGCGUUGCUCGGAAUGACUGGGCGUAAAGGGCGCGUAGGCGGCUUGCACAGUCAGGCGUGAAAUUCCUGGGCUCAACCUGGGGACUGCGCUUGAGACGUGUGGGCUUGAGUGGGGAAGAGGGUCGUGGAAUUCCCAGUGUAGAGGUGAAAUUCGUAGAUAUUGGGAAGAACACCGGUGGCGAAGGCGGCGACCUGGUCCUUGACUGACGCUGAGGCGCGAAAGCGUGGGGAGCGAUCCGG
rnacentral:rRNA from 1 species